GCUUGAGCACGUAGGUGGGUUUGUAAGUCAGAUGUGAAAGCCUUCUGUUCAACGGAAGAAUUGCAUCUGAAACUACAAGUCUUGAGUGUAGGAGGGGAGAAUGGAACUUCUGGUGGAGCGGUGAAAUCCGUAGAUAUCAGAAGGAACGCCGGCGGCGAAAGCGAUUCUCUGGCCUAUUACUGACACUCAGUGUGCGAAAGCUAGGGGAGCAAACGGGAUUAGAUACCCCGGUAGUCCUAGCCGUAAACGAUGGGCACUAAGUAGAGGGGAUUACCGACGUUCUCUCUGCCGUAGCUAACGCAUUAAGUGCCCCGCCUGGGGAGUACGGCCGCAAGGCUAAAACUCAAAAGAAUUGACGGGGGCUCGCACAAGCGGUGGAGCAUGUGGCUUAAUUCGAUGCAACGCGAAGAACCUUACCGGGGCUUGACAUGGUAGAAGUAGGAACCCGAAAGGGUAACGAACGGUAUCCAGUCCGUGACUAUCACAGGUGUUGCAUGGCUGUCGUCAGCUCGUGUCGUGAGACGUUGGGUUAAGUCCCCUAACGAGCGAAACCCUUGUUUUUAGUUACCAGCGGGUUAUGCCGGGUACUCUAGAAAGACUGCCGUCGUCAAGACGGAGGAAGGUGGGGAUGACGUCAAGUCAUCAUGGCCCUUAUGCCCCGGGCUGCACACGUGCUACAAUGGUCGGUACAAACGGAAGCGAAGCCGAGAGGUGAAGCGAAUCCAAGC
rnacentral:rRNA from 1 species